rnacentral:tRNA from 1 species
ACGCCUUUAGCUCAACUGGAUAGAGCACCUGCCUCCUAAGCGGAAGAAGUGGGUUCGAGUCCCGCAGGGCGUACCA